rnacentral:rRNA from 1 species
GAGAUCAAAGAAGUUCGCGCGGGCGACAUCGCGGCUGCUAUCGGCCUGAAAGACGUGACUACCGGUGACACCCUGUGUGAUCCGGAAAACCCGAUCAUUCUGGAACGUAUGGAAUUCCCUGAGCCGGUAAUCUCCAUCGCGGUAGAACCGAAAACCAAAGCUGACCAGGAAAAAAUGGGUCUGGCUCUGGGCCGUCUGGCGAAAGAAGACCCGUCGUUCCGCGUAUGGACUGAUGAAGAAUCUAACCAGACCAUCAUCGCUGGUAUGGGUGAACUUCACCUAGAUAUCAUCGUUGACCGUAUGAAGCGUGAAUUCAACGUUGAAGCGAACGUGGGUAAACCUCAGGUUGCUUACCGCGAAGCGAUUCGCGCGAAAGUUACCGACAUCGAAGGUAAACACGCGAAACAGUCUGGUGGUCGCGGUCAGUAUGGUCAUGUUGUUAUCGACAUGUACCCGCUGGAGCCGGGCUCUAACCCGAAAGGUUACGAGUUCAUCAACGACAUCAAAGGUGGUGUAAUUCCUGGCGAGUACAUCCCGGCCGUUGAUAAAGGCAUCCAGGAGCAGCUGAAAUCUGGCCCGCUGGCGGGUUAUCCGGUAGUUGAUCUCGGUGUGCGUCUGCACUUCGGUUCUUACCAUGACGUUGACUCCUCUGAGCUGGCGUUUAAACUGGCUGCGUCUAUCGCCUUUAAAGAAGGCUUUAAGAAAGCAAAACCAGUUCUGCUUGAGCCGAUCAUGAAGGUUGAAGUAGAAACACCUGAAGAGAAUACCGGUGACGUUAUCGGCGACCUUAGCCGCCGUCGUGGUAUGCUCAAAGGUCAGGAAUCUGAAGUUACAGGCGUUAAGAUCCACGCUGAAGUACCGCUGUCUGAAAUGUUCGGAUAUGCAACUCAGCUGCGUUCUCUGACCAAAGGUCGCGCAUCGUACACUAUGGAAUUCCUGAAGUAUGAUGAUGCGCCGAACAACGUUGCUCAGGCCGUAAUCGAAGCCCGUGGUAAAUAAGCCGCAGGGUUAAAAACCAAAAUCCCGUGCUCUCUCCUGAAGGGGAGAGCGCUAUAGUAAGGAAUAUAGCCGUGUCUAAAGAAAAAUUUGAACGUACAAAACCGCACGUUAACGUCGGCACCAUCGGCCACGUUGACCACGGUAAAACUACCCUGACCGCUGCAAUCACCACCGUACUGGCUAAAACCUACGGCGGUGCUGCUCGUGCAUUCGACCAGAUCGAUAACGCUCCGGAAGAAAAAGCGCGUGGUAUCACCAUCAACACUUCUCACGUUGAAUACNUUGUCGGGUAAGUUCCGACCUGCACGAAUGGCGUAAUGAUGGCCAGGCUGUCUCCACCCGAGACUCAGUGAAAUUGAACUCGCUGUGAAGAUGCAGUGUACCCGCGGCAAGACGGAAAGACCCCGUGAACCUUUACUAUAGCUUGACACUGAACAUUGAGCCUUGAUGUGUAGGAUAGGUGGGAGGCUUUGAAGUGUGGACGCCAGUCUGCAUGGAGCCGACCUUGAAAUACCACCCUUUAAUGUUUGAUGUUCUAACGUGGACCCGUGAUCCGGGUUGCGGACAGUGUCUGGUGGGUAGUUUGACUGGGGCGGUCUCCUCCUAAAGAGUAACGGAGGAGCACGAAGGUUGGCUAAUCCUGGUCGGACAUCAGGAGGUUAGUGCAAUGGCAUAAGCCAGCUUGACUGCGAGCGUGACGGCGCGAGCAGGUGCGAAAGCAGGUCAUAGUGAUCCGGUGGUUCUGAAUGGAAGGGCCAUCGCUCAACGGAUAAAAGGUACUCCGGGGAUAACAGGCUGAUACCGCCCAAGAGUUCAUAUCGACGGCGGUGUUUGGCACCUCGAUGUCGGCUCAUCACAUCCUGGGGCUGAAGUAGGUCCCAAGGGUAUGGCUGUUCGCCAUUUAAAGUGGUACGCGAGCUGGGUUUAGAACGUCGUGAGACAGUUCGGUCCCUAUCUGCCGUGGGCGCUGGAGAACUGAGGGGGGCUGCUCCUAGUACGAGAGGACCGGAGUGGACGCAUCACUGGUGUUCGGGUUGUCAUGCCAAUGGCACUGCCCGGUAGCUAAAUGCGGAAGAGAUAAGUGCUGAAAGCAUCUAAGCACGAAACUUGCCCCGAGAUGAGUUCUCCCUGAGACUUUAGGUCUCCUGAAGGAACGUUGAAGACGACGACGUUGAUAGGCCGGGUGUGUAAGCGCAGCGAUGCGUUGAGCUAACCGGUACUAAUGAACCGUGAGGCUUAACCUU